CCUACGGGGGACAGCAGUGGGGAAUUUUGGACAAUGGGCGCAAGCCUGAUCCAGCUAUUCCGCGUGUGGGAUGACGGCCCUCGGGUUGUAAACCACUUUCGUAGAGAACGAAAAGGAGCCAUCGAAUAAAUAACUCUGCUGACGGUACUCUAAGAAUAAGCACCGGCUAACUACGUGCCGGCAGCCGCGGUAAUACGGAGGAGGCGAUCGUUAUCCGGAUUCCGUGGGUUAAAAGGGUGCGCAGGGGGGCCUUAAAGCCGGUGGUGAAAUCGCGGGGCUCAACCCGGCCGGGCCGGCGAAAGUGAGGGCCUUGAGGGCGGGAGAGGCAAGCGGAAUGCGGGGUGUAGCGGUGAAAUGCAUAGAUAUCAGGAAGAACGCCGAUGGCGAAGGCAGCUUACCGGACCGCAACUGACGCUGAGGCACGAAAGCGAGGGGAUCGAACAGGAUUAGAUACCCCUGUAGUC
rnacentral:rRNA from 1 species